GCCCUUAUAGCUCAGUGGUAGAGCGCGUCACUCGUAUAUAUACAACUUUCUUCUACGAAAUGACGAGGUCCAUCGUUCAAUCCGGUGUGGGGGCA